CAGGCUGGUGUCUCGCCCGCUGGUACUACUUCAAAGAACAUGGCAGCGUCCGUGAAGGUAUCGGCAUCAUUGCUGACAACUGCUCUCUUCGUCGUCCUUCAACUUAUCCGCCAGCCUUGACCUUCCCAGGCAGCCUUGACCUUUCCAGAAUAUCAAUACGCCCGCACAGAAUGAUGGUUUCAACGUAGAAAUCUGAGAAAUAUGUGUGUUUAUUCUUGAUUUACAAAGAAUGUAUUAAAUGUGAUUUUAAACUGAUUCACAUAAUGAGGGACAUUAUGGAUGUCAACUUCUCCAUUAUGAAUACAUUUAGUUUAUUUAAUUUUGCUGUAAAUGUUGUUCAAUAUGUUGUGUCUAAGCAUGAAUAAAUCGGAAAGUAACAUUUGAACAUAACGUGCUGGAUAAAAGAAAACAUUAAUUAGAAAAUUUGAUUUGUCCACGAUGUUCCAAACGUUAUUGUUACCAUUAAAAGGCUUAUAGUGAAUGCAAAACUUUACGAAUGUCUAUGUCCUUAACAAAAACUAUGUGACCCGUGUCAGAGACAUAAGUUUCUUUUUUAGAGUCUAUGUGACAACUUGAGACGUGAUCAAAAGGUUGUUUCAGAAAGUUUACUAUUUUCAAGGCCACAGAAAAGCUUUCAAACAAUGUUAAUGUUAGAUAUGUGGAAGAUAUUUCCAAAUUCGGGGCAGUAUUGCCAAUAAAGGAUGUCAGAUGUAAUUCCCAAUUGUUUUUUAUAAGGUUUAUAUUUGACUUGCCUGUUCAUGUGUUUGUGGGUUGACACGUGUGGUACGUGUUUUCGCGAAUCCGUGGUACCAUCACUAAUGUAAUUAAUCCAAUCUCAUCAGUAGCAAUGACGUUUGCAAUAAAAAGUUGUGAUAAAAAAUUC